UGGACGGUACAACGAGUCGCAAGACCGCGAGGUUUAGCAAAUCUCUUAAAGCCGUUCUCAGUUCGGAUUGUAGGCUGCAACUCGCCUACAUGAAGUCGGAAUCGCUAGUAAUCGCGGAUCAGCAUGCCGCGGUGAAUACGUUCCCGGGCCUUGUACACACCGCCCGUCACACCAUGGAAGUUGGGGGUGCCCAAAGCCGGCAGGGAAAUAUGCUGUCUAAGGCAAAACCAAUGACUGGGGUGAAGUCGUAACAAGGUACC
rnacentral:rRNA from 1 species